AGUAGUUUGAUCCUGGCUCGAGGACGAACGCUGGCGGCGCGCUUAACACAUGCAAGUCGAACGGAGUUUGACGGAGCGUCUUCGGACAAUCUGUUGAACUUAGUGGCGGACGGGUGAGUAACGCGUGAGCAACCGGUCCUGAAGAGGGGGACAACUUUGAGAAAUCAAGGCUAAUACCGCGUAAGACCACACUGCCGCAUGGCAGAGGGGUCAAAGGAGAGAUCCGCUUCAGGGAGGGCUCGCGUCCCAUUAGGUAGUUGGUGACGGUAACGGCGCACCAAGCCGACGAUGGGUAGCCGUGCUGAGAGGCAGGCCGGCCACACUGGAACUGAGACACGGUCCAGACUCC
rnacentral:rRNA from 1 species